rnacentral:rRNA from 1 species
GACGAACGCUGGCGGCGUGCUUAACACAUGCAAGUCAAGGGGAACGGUUGACUUCGGUUGACCUAGUAUACUGGCGAACGGGUGAGUAACGCGUGGGUAACCUGCCUAUAAGUUUGGGAUAACACUGCUAACGCGGUGCUAAUACCGGAUGAUGCACCAUAUUCACAUGUAGAUGGUGUUAAAGCGGGCUUUCGGGCUCGUGCUUAUAGAUGGACCUGCGUCUCAUUAGUUAGUUGGCGGGGUAACGGCCCACCAAGGCGACGAUGGGUAGCCGACCUGAGAGGGUGAUCGGCCACACUGGGACUGAGAUACGGCCCAGACUCCUACGGGAGGCUG